GCGGCCGUGGCGGAAUUGGUAGACGCGCAGCGUUGAGGUCGCUGUGGGGUAACUCCCGUGGAAGUUCGAGUCUUCUCGGCCGCACCA
rnacentral:tRNA from 9 species